CCCGCGCUGAUUAAUUCAAAUCCAACUUUGCGUACCGUCAAUGACCGGAUCGUUGCGACUGUCCCAAUAUCUACUUCUGGGUUCAAACCGUAUUCCAUAUAAAAUACUCCCUCAUUAAUUAUCAUAUAUCACAGUUAUAUUAGUGACAUUUGUUAUUAUUGUUUCUAACAUACGAAAUUUCUCCUGCGGAUUCUAUUUUUUUCCGUUUUUAUUUUGUUAAAAUUUCCCUCUGCAGAUCAAGAGUCAUUUGAUUCCCUUAAUCGUCUCUCCAUACACGCGUUGCCACCGUGUAACGCAUCAAUUGCAUAAUUAAGACUGCCGUUUCCAAUAAAAUACACAAACCCGUGCAUAAAGUGAACGGAAAACAGUAGCUGACGCUCGGGAAGAUCUACAAAUGCGAUCGAGUGCUGCGCACACAGUCCAAUUAAACGUUUGUAAAAUCAAUUAUACGAGGGAAUAAAAUGUUCUCUCGUCGCUGUGAUGUAUUCGAUGGGCAUUAACGUUAGAAAUUCACUUCCGUCGGUGCUGCGGCAAAAAUAAGGAGAGAGGAAAAAUAACCAUCGCCAUAAAACAGAAUCUAUAAAAUCCACGAACUAUUCAAGACACUGAGGAGUGAUAAUGUUACGGUGAAUUCCAACCCCAGCGAAAGAUUGCAAUCUUCCAGCUCAAUGCUGAAUGCAUAUAGCCAGUCAACCUGACUCUCCACCUCAUCUCUCCCACGUGCGUUUCGUAACCCAUUGAAGUCUCGUCCUGACUGAGGCUCAACUACUCCUGAUAAAUGGACCCAGCUGAAAUUUCAACGAUUUGUCCAGGAGAUUCCAUUAUACUUGAGGUGUACUCGGUGCCACAUGAUAUUCCUGCGAUUUUUAUUUUUUAUGUUUACAUAUCGAACUGAAAUACACAAAUAAACAUGCUCUAUUUGCACAUUUCAAAAUUCUCGCCAACAAUUCAGGUUAAAUUAUGAAUUUGCCUCCAGAAACAAAUUCCUCCUGCUUCUUCAUCCUUCAUCACUGAUUUUUUUUUAUUUCAACGAGGGUUUAAAAUUCUUCCUCGGGCCGUAAACGAAUACACCCGGAACAUACGUAUUCAGUGUAGAAUUGCUUUAACGCAUCACGUAGGGUACUCGCGAUAUUACCACCGUGGUGCCCCGUGAACCUCCAAAGAAAACCGCCGGCCACAAAGAAUACGAGCUUCCAGGCAGUUCAACAAGUACUCAGUAGCGCAUGCAUGAGCGUAAAGUUCCGGAAAGUAUGAUGACCAUAGGAUGUACUUGCGGAGGAAAUUGAAAAAUUCAAAGGCCCAGCUCAGUAACACUGGGAUAAUAAAAUUCCUCCAGAGGAGGACAGCCAUUUCGGCUCCACGUCGUUUCGAUCAGCCGUAUACUGCUUAUAACACGAGUGGCUAUUCGGCAAUAGCACGUAUACAUAUCCCAUAAACAGAUGAAGACGGUAACAGCAAUUUUAUCGGGUUCCUACGAAUGCAAGUGUCGUCUGAUCAAUUCCGGGCAGUUUCUACUGUAAACCCGGGGAAAACGUUCCACUGUUCGUCAGACAUGUGCCUCGAUCGGUUCGGAAUGGAAUGAAAGGGCAGAAGACCCAAUCUGCUUGCGGUCACGAAGUCUUUUGUGUAAUAGACUGGACUUUGACUUGUGGUAUUACGACUCCAAUAAAAGAGCAUGCGUCAAAGAUAGCGGCUGCAUAAUACCCGAUGAAAACAACUUUGAAACCAGAGAAGAGUGCGAGCAAACCUGUUCAGUCAGUGUCAGAAAAUUAUCAAGACCGCGCUGCGCGGAUUUAUUGGAAAAAUUGUUAGCUCCGGAAAUAUCGGGAAUUGAAAUCCAUGAAUUACUCCACAAUGGCUGUUAUGCAUAAGAAUCUAUCAAGCUAUGACUGUAUCGGAUGAUGAUAUUCAAUUAAUUUAUUGAAAAAUAUUUACAACGACAGUGAAAAAAAAUCA